rnacentral:rRNA from 1 species
CUCGUAGGCGGUUCGUCGCGUCUGGUGUGAAAGUCCAUCGCUUAACGGUGGAUCUGCGCCGGGUACGGGCGGGCUUGAGUGCGGUAGGGGAGACUGGAAUUCCCGGUGUAACGGUGGAAUGUGUAGAUAUCGGGAAGAACACCAAUGGCGAAGGCAGGUCUCUGGGCCGUUACUGACGCUGAGGAGCGAAAGCGUGGGGAGCAAACA